rnacentral:rRNA from 1 species
UACGUAGGGUGCGAGCGUUGUCCGGAAUUACUGGGCGUAAAGAGCUCGUAGGCGGUUUGUCGCGUCUGCUGUGAAAACUGGAGGCUCAACCUCCAGCCUGCAGUGGGUACGGGCAGACUAGAGUGCGGUAGGGGGAGACUGGAAUUCCUGGUGUAGCGGUGAAAUGCGCAGAUAUCAGGAGGAACACCGGUGGCGAAGGCGGGGUCUCUGGGCCGUAACUGACGCUGGAGGAGCGAAAAGCAUGGGGAGCGAACAGG